rnacentral:rRNA from 1 species
AGUGAACGCUGGCGGUAGGCCUAACACAUGCAAGUCGAACGGCAGCACAGAGGAGCUUGCUCCUUGGGUGGCGAGUGGCGGACGGGUGAGGAAUACAUCGGAAUCUACUCUGUCGUGGGGGAUAACGUAGGGAAACUUACGCUAAUACCGCAUACGACCUACGGGUGAAAGCAGGGGAUCUUCGGACCUUGCACGAUUGAAUGAGCCGAUGUCGGAUUAGCUAGUUGGCGGGGUAAAGGCCCACCAAGGCGACGAUCCGUAGCUGGUCUGAGAGGAUGAUCAGCCACACUGGAACUGAGAAACGGUCCAGACUCCUACGGGAGGCAGCAGUGGGGAAUAUUGGACAAUGGGCGCAAGCCUGAUCCAGCCAUACCGCGUGGGUGAAGAAGGCCUUCGGGUUGUAAAGCCCUUUUGUUGGGAAAGAAAUCCAUCUGGUUAAUACCCGGGUGGGAUGACGGUACCCAAAGAAUAAGCACCGGCUAACUUCGUGCCAGCCGCCGCGGUAA